CAUCCGAAACUCGUGGUCUUCCCGAACCACAUGAAGCCGACCUCACUACUCAUUGCCGCGGCGCCGCCGCGUUCACCGCACUCAUGCAUUCGGCCGUCCCACUCGCACACCGACACCGGGUUCCCUUGGGGACGGCGGCGACGAGGAGACCCGGCCCUUGGCGCCGACCGGCGGCCCCAUCGGUUCUCUACCUCGUGGCGCUAGUACCCCCACCCCCCCACGCGACGCAACAGCAUCGUACAGCGAUGACCGGUGAGUAUUCCUCAGAGCCCAAUGAGAAUGAGGGACCCAACUUGCAUAGUUAGUAAAAAUUUACUGUAGGUUGUUACCGACAAGUCUGAAUGUUUAUGGCUGUGUUGAAAGCAUGGAAUGGUUUUCUCCCAAUCUCUUUUGUUCUUUGCUGCAUCUGCUGCAGAAUGGUGCAUAGAUGAUAAAUCAUAUUUUCUUCUCAUACUUGUAUAAAUUCUAGGCAUCAUAAUCUGCAGCAUUCCCCAUUUCCCUACGUUGCAAAUGGGCCCAAAAAUUUCUCUCCUAGUUUUCCCCCUUUGUACCAUUAGUAAUCUGCGGUUUCAACCUCACUGUUUUACUGCACCAUUUCUUUUAUACUAGUUCACUUUCACUCUGCUGCUUUCGGUGACUAAAACUUUUGAUUUUUUUUAUGGCAAUGAUGAAUUUGGCUCAUUACGAGUCACAGACAACAGGCUAAUGUCUUGUUCCUUCAGGAAGUGAGACAAUUCCUUCGAAAUACAGGCUGGAAAACCUGAGCUCUGUCAAUGCAAUUUUAAUACUAUUCAGUUGUGCUUCUGCACUGCUGCACAUAAGCAUAUGACGCUCCUUUUCUUCUCUGUUGGGCUGAUGUGGACUGGGAAUCCAUCCAGGUUUGGAGUGUUCUGGGAGUUUUGUUCUGGUCAAUCUAAUCAAAAUAUUGCUUUUUGAGUGGAUGCUCCAAUUGAUCCAGAUUGUUGGGUGUUUAUUUGCUUCCUGGCGGAGUACCAACAUCCAGUUUAUUUCUGAAACAAACAUUAAAAUUUGGUUGAUGACCUUUAAAGUACUGCAUAUAUGCAGUACCUCCAGCGGAGACUCAUGCAAACCCACUAGAGCAGAAGUCUAUUAGAAGUCUAUAAAUGGUUGAUGACCUUUAAAGUUUGAACAGAAUGUUGCUCCAAACAGGGCCAAAUCCCAAGUAUCUUAGUACCUGCAACAAGAAAGGCCAUGACAUGGAAUCGAAGGCCUUUGAGAUAUCCAACUUGAGGAGAACUCUCUGCUCUUUUUGCCAAUGGAGCAAUUUGGCUAUUUGUUGGACCAAGAUAAAUUUUUCAUGAAUGCACAUUCUUUUGACAUAAGCACUUUGAUUGGGAGACACCAAAUCCUUGAGCUUCCUAGCCAGCCUAUUGGCUAGCAGUUUGGUGAUAAGCUUGGAAAAGCUAUGGACUAGGCUUAUAGGGUGAAAGUCUUUGAUUUCCAUGGCAUCUGGAGAUUUUGGUAGCAGGUGAUAUAGGCUGAAUCCAGAAGGAAUAAUCUGCUCACAUCUCCCUGCAGAACUCGCCAUUGAUGGAUUUUUCAUGAUUUGGUUGCAAUGCUUUUUGGACUUGGUAUGUUCUCCGUCACCAUUACAUCACCUCAUUAUCCUCUAUUGUGAUUAGACCCGUCCGGAAAUUAAUUUUGGAACUUAGCUUGCUCGUGAGGGAUGAUAUGUGCUCUGUCUUCUCCUAAGUGGUUCGAUUUCUUGCAUUUCUAUUCUUUUAAUGUUUAACUAUAACCCCACUUUGGGACCUUGCAUGUUUGAUUAUGAUUGUUCUUUUCUUGCAAAUACUAGAAUCCAUAUAUAUUAAACAAGUACAAGCUUUACAAGAACACCCUUGACAAAGGAAUUUAUAAACAUGCCCAAGGGGAGUUCAUCACCAUCUUUGACCUGCACAAUCCAACGGCGUGUCGUGGGCGUAGCUUGAUCCGCACAUGCCCUUUGUCGCCGAAACCAGAGAGUCAUUGUAACUUUCCCUAGGAAAUCAUUAUGUAUUGCCAGGAGAUGCCAAUGAUGACGUUCCGAAGCACGAAUCGUCAUCCUAGAGAAGAAGGCCACAUGAUGAGAGAACCAACCCCACAUCACGCUGGAAGUGUCAUCUAAAGAUCUUAUUGACAUGACCAUCGGCGUCACCGCGAGCCGAGGCGGAAGCAUCGAGGGAGAACUCCGCCUGCACCACCAUCAUUCAGCAUCUGUGUUGGCUCGGCAGAAAUGCCCAUCUGAAUGUCAGGCAUUGCAGCACCGAUGCUUGAAGCACUACCAAGUGCGAAGUUACCAUUCAGCAUCUCCACCGAGCUUGUGUUGUUGUUGUUGUUGUUGUUGUUGUUGUUGUUGUUGAUUGCGAAGUUACCAUUCGGCAUCUCCACCGAGCUCAUGUUGCUGUUGAUUGCAAAGUUACCAUUCGCCAUCCCGACCGAGCUCAUACUGUUGUUGAUUGCGAAGUUACCAUUCGGCAUCUCCGCCGAGCUCAUGUUGUUGUUGAUAGCAAAGUUACCAUUCGGCACCUCGACCGAGCUCAUGUUGUUGGUUGCCAAAUGACCAUUCGGCAUCUCCACCGAGCUUAUGUUGUUGUUGAUUGAUAAAUCCUGCAGUCAGAAAACAAGUUUAGUUAGAUGCAACCUUAUCGAACUUCGUACUGCCAGUACAUUUUUAUAUGUGCAAAGCCUGAAAAACUUAGAGACAAGAUAGUAAAUGCCAAAACGAAAGCAAGCUGGGUAAAACUGGGCAGGCAUCAUGCUGGAAAAGAACGGGAAAGCUUCUUACUUCAUCAAGCAUGUUGAUCGUGGGAGAACGCCGCCUGCACCACCAUCAUUCAGCAUCCGAGUUGGCACGGCAGAAAUGCCCAUCUGAAGGUCAAGCAUUGCAGCACCGAUGCUUGAAGCACUACCAAGUGCGAAGUUACCAUUCGGCAUCUCCACCAAGCUUGUGCCGCCGUCCAUUACGAGGUAACCAUUCAGCAUCUCUACCCAGCUUGUGUUGUCGUCGAUUGAGAGGUCACCAUUCAACAUCUCUACCGAGCUUGUGUUGCCGUCGAUUGCAAAGUCACCAUUCAGCACCUGUACUGAGCUUGUGCUGUUGUUGAUGGUUACAUCGACGUCGAACAACGCCAUCUCCUCACCGGAACGUGCCAACGAUUUUGUGCUGUUUAUGAAAGCUGCUAUUUGGUUC